UACGUAGGUGGCAAGCGUUGUCCGGAAUUAUUGGGCGUAAAGCGCGCGCAGGCGGCCUUUUAAGUCUGAUGUGAAAGCCCACGGCUCAACCGUGGAAGGGCAUUGGAAACGAAGGGCUUGAGUACAGAAGAGGAAAGCGGAAUUCCACGUGUAGCGGUGAAAUGCGUAGAGAUGUGGAGGAACACCAGUGGCGAAGGCGGCUUUCUGGUCUGUAACUGACGCUGAGGCGCGAAAGCGUGGGGAGCAAACAGG
rnacentral:rRNA from 1 species